GUAACGAUGACACCAGCGAUUAGUCGGUGUUAAUAUACGACCCGACUAGCAGCUUCCGGGAAACCAAAGUUUUUCGUUUCCGGGGGAAGUAUGGUUGCAAAGCUGAAACUUAAAGGAAUUGACGGAAGGGCACCACCAGGAGUGGAGCCUGCGGCUUAAUUUGACUCAACACGGGAAAACUCACCCGGCCCGGACACCGUAAGGAUUGACAGACUGAGAGCUCUUUCUUAAUUCGGUGGGUGGUGGUGCAUGGCCGUUCUUAGUUGGUGGAGCGAUUUGUCUGGUUAAUUCCGAUAACGAACGAGACUCUGGCCUAUUAAAUAGUCGGUAUAUCCAGAAAAGUUUACCGUACUUCUUAGAGGGACAAACGGCGUCUAGCCGCGUGAAAUAGAGCAAUAACAGGUCUGUGAUGCCCUUAGAUGUCCGGGGCUGCACGCGCGCUACACUGAAAGAAUCAGUAUGCGCUUUAACCUAGUCCGGAAGGAUUGGGUAACCCGAGCAAAUUCUUUCGUGCUUGGGAUAGGGAAUUGCAAUUAUUUCCCUUAAACGAGGAAUUCCCAGUAAAUGCGGGUCAUAAGCUCGCGUUGAUUACGUCCCUGCCCUUUGUACACACCGCCCGUCGCUACUACCGAUUGGAUGACUUAGUGAGGUCUUAGGACCGACGUAAAGGAGCUUUCGCGAGUUCUUUUUCGUUGGAAAUUUGAUCGAACUACGUUAUCUAGAGGAAGUAAAAGUCGUAACAAGGUUUCUGUAGGUGAACCUGCGGAAGGAUC
rnacentral:rRNA from 1 species